rnacentral:ncRNA from 1 species
CACGGCCCAGACUCCUACGGGAGGCAGCAGUGGGGAAUAUUGCACAAUGGGCGAAAGCCUGAUGCAGCGACGCCGCGUGAGGGAUGACGGCCUUCGGGUUGUAAACCUCUUUCAGCAGGGAAGAAGCGAAAGUGACGGUACCUGCAGAAGAAGCGCCGGCUAACUACGUGCCAGCAGCCGCGGUAAUACGUAGGGCGGGAGCGUUGUCCGGAAUUAUUGGGCGUAAAGAGCUCGUAGGCGGCUUGUCACGUCGGUUGUGAAAGCCCGGGGCUUAACCCCGGGUCUGCAGUCGAUACG